UCGAGAAUUUUUCACAAUGGGCGAAAGCCUGAUGGAGCGACGCCGCGUGGGGGAUGAAUGGCCUCGGCCCGUAAACCCCUGUCAUUUGCGAUCAAACCUUGCGACCCAACACGUCGCGAGUUGAUAGUAGCGAAAGAGGAAGGGACGGCUAACUCUGUGCCAGCAGCCGCGGUAAUAAAGAGGUCCCAAGCGUUGUUCGGAUUCACUGGGCGUAAAGGGUGCGUAGGCGGUCGGGUAAGUCUGACGUGAAAUCCUGGGGCUUAACUCCGGAACUGCGUCGGAAACUAUUCGACUAGAGGAUUGGAGGGGGGACUGGAAUUCUCGGUGUAGCAGUGAAAUGCGUAGAUAUCGAGAGGAACACCUGUGGCGAAGGCGAGUCCCUGGACAAUUCCUGACGCUGAGGCACGAAAGCUAGGGGAGCAAACA
rnacentral:rRNA from 1 species